CUUCCUGCUGGGCGCCAUCUUGUCUUCUCCUAGCACACUUUGUAUUGUUCGAAGUUGAGAAAGAAGGAGCCCGAGUCUCCGAGGUGGCGUUGGGUGGGGGCGCUACUAGCUCCCGUUCUCUCAGCGACUCUAGAGCAGCUGCUUCCGGCUCCCUGAGACCCAGCCAUGGAAGGCACAGAAAGGCAUGUGACAAGAAACUCAUGGCUUUUAAUCCUGGCAGGACAAGGAAAACCCCGUCAAAGAUUUGCAUAAAUUUUACUGCUCUCCUGCUGGGGGGGCAGUUCGUCACAUUUAAUAAAACUCCCUCCCUCCUC